AGUUGAAAAAUGAUGAUAUCAAUAGUUCAAAUGAGCUUUUCAAGCGAUGCAAUAGAUUUUCGCCCCUAUCUGAUUUCAAAC
rnacentral:snoRNA from 1 species